UCCAGUAAGUUACGGUAAUGCACCUCUUAGCUUUUUGUCAACCACAAGAAGAAGAAGAAGAAGAAGAAGACCUGCUGCUGGAAAUAAUCUCUUGUCCUCAGCCAGGUCGCACUUGAAAGAAUGCCCACUCUUAAAAUACACUUUUAAAAGAUGCACCCAUCUGUUAUUUGCAAAGGAGGCAGGCUGGAGAGUGUAACCUCACAUCCUCUGAGCAUGGAUGUCAAUUAUGUCCCAGAUUCACAACGAGGAGAGCACAGGACUGCUACUCUUAUACCCAGAUGAAACACUGGAAUGGGUCCAGUGUCAUGUGUGCAAAGGCUGGCUGCAUACAGACUGUGCAGGAGCAUCUGAGAGAGGAGUUAAUAACUGUGGAUGCAGAGAUUCAAAUGAAAACACGAGGUCAUCAUCAAGUUCUUGGCAAUGCAAGGUCUGACCCAGCUACAGGUGCAGGUGGUGAUGGCCAGCGGGAGUCGGUUUUAACUGUUUGUUGAGG